GACGAACGCUGGCGGCGUGCUUAACACAUGCAAGUCGAACGGAAAGGCCCUGCUUUUGUGGGGUGCUCGAGUGGCGAACGGGUGAGUAACACGUGAGUAACCUGCCCUUGACUUUGGGAUAACUUCAGGAAACUGGGGCUAAUACCGGAUAGGAGCUCCUGCUGCAUGGUGGGGGUUGGAAAGUUUCGGCGGUUGGGGAUGGACUCGCGGCUUAUCAGCUUGUUGGUGGGGUAGUGGCUUACCAAGGCUUUGACGGGUAGCCGGCCUGAGAGGGUGACCGGCCACAUUGGGACUGAGAUACGGCCCAGACUCCUACGGGAGGCAGCAGUGGGGAAUAUUGCACAAUGGGCGGAAGCCUGAUGCAGCAACGCCGCGUGCGGGAUGACGGCCUUCGGGUUGUAAACCGCUUUCGCCUGUGACGAAGCGUGAGUGACGGUAAUGGGUAAAGAAGCACCGGCUAACUACGUGCCAGCAGCCGCGGUGAUACGUAGGGUGCGAGCGUUGUCCGGAUUUAUUGGGCGUAAAGGGCUCGUAGGUGGUUGAUCGCGUCGGAAGUGUAAUCUUGGGGCUUAACCCUGAGCGUGCUUUCGAUACGGGUUGACUUGAGGAAGGUAGGGGAGAAUGGAAUUCCUGGUGGAGCGGUGGAAUGCGCAGAUAUCAGGAGGAACACCAGUGGCGAAGGCGGUUCUCUGGGCCUUUCCUGACGCUGAGGAGCGAAAGCGUGGGGAGCGAACAGGCUUAGAUACCCUGGUAGUCCACGCUGUAAACGGUGGGUACUAGGUGUGGGGUCCAUUCCACGGGUUCCGUGCCGUAGCUAACGCUUUAAGUACCCCGCCUGGGGAGUACGGCCGCAAGGCUAAAACUCAAAGGAAUUGACGGGGCCCCGCACAAGCGGCGGAGCAUGCGGAUUAAUUCGAUGCAACGCGUAGAACCUUACCUGGGUUUGACAUGGAUCGGGAGUGCUCAGAGAUGGGUGUGCCUCUUUUGGGGUCGGUUCACAGGUGGUGCAUGCCUGCCGUCAGCUCGUGUCGUGAGAUGUUGGGUUAAGUCCCGCAACGAGCGCAACCCUUGUUCACUGUUGCCAGCACGUUAUGGUGGGGACUCAGUGGAGACCGCCGGGGUCAACUCGGAGGAAGGUGGGGAUGACGUCAAGUCAUCAUGCCCCUUAUGUCCAGGGCUUCACGCAUGCUACAAUGGCUGGUACAGAGAGUGGCGAGCCUGUGAGGGUGAGCGAAUCUCGGAAAGCCGGUCUCAGUUCGGAUUGGGGUCUGCAACUCGACCUCAUGAAGUCGGAGUCGCUAGUAAUCGCAGAUCAGCAACGCUGCGGUGAAUACGUUCCCGGGGCU
rnacentral:rRNA from 1 species